UGGUAUGCCAAUAAACACUUUCGUUCUUCGGCUAUGUGUUUAUUCUUAAUUUCAGGAGAUUUUCAGAUGUGUAGCAGGAGGGCUAUGGGAAUCUUCAUGGCCCUCCAUACCCCUGUUCCAUUACACUCCUGGCUAUGACCUGUCACAUAGUUGCUCUGUGCCGCUUUGAUUGAUAGCACAGUGUACCUUGUCUUGGUUGGUGUUCAUGCUUACAGAGAAAGACUUGCCAACAUCAGGAUUUGUAACCAGAAAGGGUGUUGAAAACAUAUCCUCGAAAUCAGGCUAUCAAAUGUUAGAAGAAAACCUUUCAGACCUAGAAUCAGUUAUGGAGAAGAAAGAUGAUAAACAGUUCCAGAAACUAUAAAUGGCCAGCUUCUAAGCCACAACUUGUCUUUGUACACACCGAUGUAUACAUAAUACGGCAAAGUUUUAUGUGCAACUGAGGGUGUGGCAUUUAUGAUUCAGAAAGAAUGAGUUUGUGCAGAUGGAAAUGGGCAUUUGGGUGGGGAUUAGGCAAGGACAGAAUUAUAAUGCAAGCCAGGUGGAUGGUAACACCUCUUUUUGUCUAUACCAAAACUAUUCAGAAAAAACUGUAUCCAUAAGACUGACUUUUUGUGAUGACUAAAUACAUAGAAUCAUUUAAGUAUACAACUUAAGAAAAAAUCAGGAGUAGAAGUCAUCCACAGAUGAGUACUCCAGGUUUUAGAGGAAAAAAAAUGUAAAUGAACAUUUCAAUUGGGUAAAUCAGUUUCUCAGUGAGAGCCUUCUCAACCUCAUCUUGCCAGAUGACAAAUGACUAUCUAUUAUUGUUAAAGUUUGUGGCAAAAGGACAGCCAAAUUGAUUCAGCAUCAACUAAGCGUGGAAAAAAAUGUAGCUGCAAAAACAAAAACAAAAACAGAUUUCUGGCUGCUGUCCUCAAAAGCCUCCCACACAGACGAUGUUCCUGACAGGAUCAACAAAUGCUCCAUUUCACUGUCCCACAGCGCAGCUUCGGCCAUCAGCCACUGACUGGCUUGGGCCAGAAGUAGUUUUGGUCUCUGUGACAGUGACUUCCUUGCUCUGCUCUGAACGAGUGACCUUUCUGUGAAAGUAGGUGUCCUGGUUCUAGGGCUAAUCCCAAUGCCAUCCCACAACAUUUCAGUGUGCCUGGCACCAUACCUGGCACCAUACCUGGCAAGCAGCGAGCUCCUGACGCUUGGAAGUGCUAAUGCUGUUCCAGACAUCUGUAAGCAAGUCGGAUCAGCCAGAUUCCAUCACGUGAGACACCUUGGAGGACAAAGCCACAUUGUGUGGAGGAAGACACACCACCGUUCAGACCCAAAGUCGUCCUGCUUUCUCCUGCACUCCGUCUCCCCUAGUGCCAGAAUGCGGGGAUGAUAACUGGUGUUGAAGUGAUGCACUGGGGCUUUGAGGUGCCUCCCCCACCCUGGCCUCGCGCUGGCAAGUGAGAACCAAGCCCGCGCUAACUUCACAGUUCUCGGCCCGUGGAAGCGCAGGCCACCUGGGCUCCAGCAAACACCAGACGUGUAAUUAGAGGCUCCUGGGCUGGGAUAAUGUGGUGCACAGACAAGUCUUAUCACGCGUCUGAGCCUCUGUGGGUGCCCAGAGUUGCCUCUGCAGCCCGGAGCGGGUGAGUGGAGGCUCCUGUGACUCAUCCAACUGCAGGAACUGUCAACUGGCUUCUGCCCAGCCAAGAACUUUUAUCAAUCACUAAGUAGAGACACUGUGUACAAGGACACUGGUUCAUCCAAGAACAUCAGGACAGCCAGGAAUUUAAAACAUACAAAACACCGCUUCCUGCAUGCUGCACCCCAGGCAGCUCUGAGGCUCAGCCCAAGGAAGAUUUGGGGCUCGGGCCAGAAAGACACGAUUAACUCUGACUUACACAAGAGGGGAGUGUACAAAAGUCAUGCAGUCCCAGGGGAAGGCACUGGGCUAAACCCUCAUGACUGUAAAAUGAAGAAAUAUGCAUGAAGCAUGACUAGGGUGUUUGACGAGGACCCAGAGUUAUGUCCAAGGAAUGAAGGCGCUGCCUUCAACAGAGCAAAAUGUCAAGUUAACUGAUAACAAAUACAUUCCACAGGACUGGUCUCUGAGUGAGACAACUUUUUUAGUGGGGAAAAAAAGAACAAAUAAAUGUGUUUCCGGA